AAAACAGAGCAAAGGCAGAGGAGGCAGUAAAGAAAUAACAAUCCAUCCUUCUUAAUCUCUCAUCUACCCCACGCCUCUGUUUCUCAACACCUUCUUCUUCUCUCUCUCUUCUCUCUCUCUCUCUCUCUCUCUCUGAAACCUCUUCACUGAUCAGAACCCUAUCAAUGGAAACCUCUUCAAUUCACCAAGAAAACCCAUGUCCUCCUUCUUCUCUCCUUCCUUCUCCAAGCAGUCGCAUGACUAACAGCAGUACCAGCAGUAGCAGCACCAGCAAUGGCCUCCAAGUCAUGCCUCCAACUCCGCCGCCUCAAUUCAACCAGUUACAUUCUCCCAAACCCAUCACUCGAUCCGAAUCUGUCAAUCCUUACCCCACUACCUUCGUUCAAGCCGAUACUUCCUCCUUUAAACAAGUUGUUCAAAUGCUCACUGGAUCCCCUGAAACUGCCAAGCAAGCCUCCGUCAAGCCUGCUCCCGGUGCUCCCAAUUCUGAUUCUCAUUCCAAAACCCACAUUCCACCCAUUAAAUCUUUGCCCAGAAGGCAGCAAUCUGGAUUCAAGCUCUACGAGCGUAGGAACUCUUUGAAUAAACUUAAAAUUAACCCCGUGUUUCCUGUUUUUGGUUCUGGUGGUCAUUCUGGGUUUUCUCCGAGGAAACAUGAAAUUCUUUCUCCUAGCAUUCUGGACUUUCCGGCGCUUGCUCUUAGUCCGGUCACGCCGCUAAUUCCUGACCCGUUUGAUCGAUCUGGGUUGGCGAAUUGUAGCUAUUUGAAGAAUGGGAAUGCUAAGUUGGAUGCAGAGGCGGAAGAGAAAGCGAUUAAAGAAAAGGGGUUUUACUUGCAUCCCUCGCCGACCACCACUCCUCGGGAUUCUGAGCCUCGGUUGUUGCCACUGUUCCCAAUAACAUCUCCUAGAGUACCAGGUGAAUGAGGAAAAAGGAAGGGUGUUAUGUUGUGGGGGAAGGUUAUGAAAAGUGCCCUCGAACCUUGGCCUAACUUUCAAAGAUAGGAGAAAAAAUGGGCGCGGAAUCUUGACCUUUUGUUACCUUUUGUGUUGUAUCUUGUCUGAAGUAACUUGUGAAUGAUCAUUUAGCAUGAUAGGAUUAGAAAAAUUCACCAUUGGACAUGUGAGAUGUGACCCCAUCUGAAAUUGAUUCUGGAAGCAGAUUUGUACCAGUCAACAAACUAGGUUAGAUGGAAGUGAAUCUGGUCAACAUUUUUAGUUGAACAAUACCAAUCUUAUCAUCUUUGUUUGGGGCAGCUGACAAAGUAGGAAGGAACCAUCCCAUGGGGUCAAGCCAACCCUGAUAAGUUGUUCUCUUGAACAGGUCAUUACAACUAUUAUAAACAAAGAGUUUCCCUGUCAGAUAAGGUAGUCAAAUGGGGACAUUGAAGAUGGAACAAUAAAUAGAGUUGUUUCAAGUGGUCAUCUGAGUACAAUUUUCCAGCCAUAGGAGAGAUUCAUUUUAAUUUUGAAUAUGAAUUUGGGUCCAUUUUUCAUUAAAUGGAGAGAGUUUUGUUGGGUAGGCUAAGUUCUUUCUUUCCUUUCCUCUUAGUUGGGGCCCUUGAAGGUGAAGCCUUGGGGCUGUACCAAAGUGAAUCGAUCAUGGAAAAAGGUAGUGGUGCUUUUAAUCUUUAUCUCUGAAUCUUAAGACUUACGCUGUGGCCUACUUGCUGUACUCUGAACAAUCCGCCGAAACAACCUCAAAGUAAAAUGGGGACACGGGAAAGUGUGAGUUGUGAUGAAGAAAGAGAGAAUGGUGGGGAUACGAAAAGCCUGAAAACAUGGUGGUCGUCUUUUUCAGUGAUGUUUGUUUGUUUGUUUGUUUGACUGUUUGUUUUUAUAUGUAUAGUGGUGAUUCUUGUUGGUUUGGUUUUAUGUGGGUUUGCUUUUUGUAGACUUUUUAACACUCCUAUGGGUUGGUGGGUGUCAAUAAUUAUAAUCUUGAAAGUUUGAAACUUUUUUUCAAA